AAUGUGAUUUCAUCUGUGUGGUGAAUGUUACUUAUUCAGUGGCUUUUCAGGCCCGGGCGUAAACCUGUAUAUUGUAUUCCCUGACCACUGGGCCCACCAACAGCAGUUGUGUGCUUUCAGGGAGUUUCCAAGAAAGAUGAAUGAUAACAGGAAAGCACAGAGCCAAAGCCAAAGCC